rnacentral:rRNA from 1 species
AAAUAGAUUAAAAUAAUUAAGGGCACACAAAGGAUGCCUUGGUAGUAAGAGCCGAUGAAGGACGUGGUAAGCUGCGAUAAGCCUAGAUAAGUUGCAAUCGAACGUAAGAGUCUAGGAUUUCCGAAUGGAGCAAUCUAUUAAGAUGGAGUCUUAAUACGAAAGAGGGAACUGCGUGAACUGAAACAUCUAAGUAACGCGAGGAAAAGAAAGUAAAAACGAUACCCGAAGUAGCGGCGAGCGAAACGGGUCAAGCCUAAACCUUAAAUAUGUCAAGGAUACAGCCGUUGUAUUUAAGGGGUUGAGGGACAGAGUGAUGAAGAACUGUAAGAUAUUCAAUAUAGUGUAUUGAUGAACUAGAAUAGUCUGGAAAGGUUAACCGUAGAAGGUGAAAGUCCUGUAUAGGUAAAUCCUUACACAUAUAACUUUGAUCCCAAGUAACAUGGAACACGAGGAAUUCUGUGUGAAUCAGUGAGGACCAUAUCUCAUAAGGCUAAAUACUCUUACUAACCGAUAGCGCAUAGUACCGUGAGGGAAAGGUGAAAAGAACCCCUGGAGGGGAGUGAAAUAGAACCUGAAAUUGUGUGCUUACAAGCGGUCAGAGCCAGUAAUGGUGAUGGCGUGCCUUUUGGAGAAUGAUCCUGCGAGUUACGUUAAACGGCGAGGUUAAGUAUUACGGAGCCGAAGGGAAACCAAGUCUUAAUAGGGCGAUUUAGUCGUUUGGCGUAGACGCGAAACCUGGUGAUCUAAACCUGUCCAGGAUGAAGCUGUGGUAAGACACAGUGGAGGUCCUAACCCACCGCCGUUGAAAAGUUGGGGGAUGAGGUAGGUUUAGGGGUGAAAAGCCAAUCGAACCAGGAGAUAGCUCGUUCUCUCCGAAAUGCAUCUAGGUGCAGCCUUGAGUGUUCAAUUAUGGGGGUAGAGCACUGAAUGAUCUAGGGGGCAUAUUGCUUACUGAAAUCAAUCAAACUCCGAAUACCAUAAUUUAUAGCUCAGGAGUGAGACUAUGGGAGUUAACUUCCAUUGUCAAAAGGGAAACAACCCAGACCACCAGCUAAGGUCCCUAAUUAUAACUAAGUGGGAAAGGAGGUGGAGAUUCACAAACAACUAGGAGGUUGGCUUAGAAGCAGCCAUACCUUUAAAGAGUGCGUAAUAGCUCACUAGUCGAGAGUCUCUGCGCCGACAAUGUAACGGGGCUAAGUUAUAAACCGAAGCUGUGGAAUCCGUAAGGAUUGGUAGGAGAGCGUUCUGUAGGCCGUUGAAGGAGAAGGGUAACCGACUUUGGAGGUAUCAGAAGUGAGAAUGCAGGAAUAAGUAGCGAGAAAGGGGGCGAGAAUCCCCCUCGCCGGAAGACCAAGGUUUUCAGGGUAAAGCUUGUCUUCCCUGAGUAAGCCGGGACCUAAGCCCAGGCUAUAAUGCGUAGGCGAAUGGAAAACAGAUUAAUAUUUCUGUGCCAGUCAUAUAUUGUGAUGGAGGGACGCAGAAGGGUAUGCGCGCGGACGAACGGAAGUGUCCGUAGAAGUAUAUAGGAUGACUUAGUAGGAAAAUCCAUUAAGUUAUAUCUGAGGUAUGAUAUAUAGUCGUAAGAUGAAUGCGCAAAUCCCACGCUGCCAAGAAAAGCUUCUAACAUUAAUUUAUGACUGCCCGUACUGCAAACCGACACAGGUGGUCAGGAUGAGAAAUCUAAGGCGGACAGGCUAACUCUCGUUAAGGAACUCUGCAAAAUAACCUCGUAACUUCGGGAGAAGAGGAGCCCUUGGGUGUUAGUAUCCAUGCGAUACAAAGCGCUCGAGGGUCGCAGUGAAGAGGCUCAAGCAACUGUUUAACAAAAACACAGGUCUAUGCUAAGCUGGAAGGCGAUGUAUAUGGGCUGACACCUGCCCAGUGCUGGAAGGUUAAGAGGAGGAGUGAGAGCUCCGAAUUGAAGCCCCAGUGAACGGCGGCCGUAACUAUAACGGUCCUAAGGUAGCGAAAUUCCUUGUCGGGUAAGUUCCGACCUGCACGAAUGGUGUAAUGAUUUGAGCGCUGUCUUGACGGGAGGCCUGGUGAAAUUGUAUUACCGGUGAAGAUACCGGUUACCUACAGUAGGACGGAAAGACCCCAUGGAGCUUUACUGUAGCUUGGUAUUGGGUUUUGGCAUUGCAUGUAUAGGAUAGUUGGGAGACUGAGAUGAUAUGGCGCUAGCUGUAUCGGAGUCAUCGGUGGAAUACCAACCAUUCAAUGCUGAAAUUCUAAUCUGUGGUUUGUAGCCACGGAGACAGUGCUAGGUGGGCAGUUUGACUGGGGCGGUCGCCUCCGAAAGAGUAACGGAGGCGUUCAAAGGUUCUCUCACGUUGGAUGGAAAUCAACCAUAGAGUGCAAUGGCAUAAGAGAGCUUGACUGCAAGACUGACGGGUCGAGCAGAUGCGAAAGCAGGACAUAGUGAUCCGGCGAUUCCGAAUGGAAGGGUCGUCGCUCAACGGAUAAAAGCUACCCUGGGGAUAACAGGCUGAUCCUACCCGAGAGGCCAUAUCGACGGUAGGGUUUGGCACCUCGAUGUCGGCUCAUCGCAUCCUGGGGCUGGAGAAGGUCCCAAGGGUUGGGCUGUUCGCCCAUUAAAGCGGUACGUGAGCUGGGUUCAGAACGUCGUGAGACAGUUCGGUCCCUAUCCACUGUAGGCGUUAGAAUAUUGAGAAGACCUGUCCUUAGUACGAGAGGACCGGGAUGGACAAACCUCUGAUGUACCAGUUGUCACGCCAGUGGCACAGCUGGGUAGUCACGUUUGGAAUAGAUAACCGCUGAAAGCAUCUAAGCGGGAAACUAACUUCAAGAUAAGUAUUCUUUAAGAUACCUUCGAGCCUAGGAGGUUGAUAGGUUGGGGGUGUAAGUACAGCAAUGUAUUUAGCUGACCAAUACUAAUUAUCGAAGUUUUAAUCUAAUUUGUUUUUACUAUAUAGUUUC